GAUGAACGCUAGCGACAGGCUUAACACAUGCAAGUCGAGGGGCAGCAUAGGGUAGCAAUACUCUGAUGGCGACCGGCGCACGGGUGAGUAACACGUAUGUAACCUACCCUUUACAGGGGGAUAACCCGGAGAAAUUCGGACUAAUACCCCAUAAUAUUAUUUUGGAGCAUCCUGGAAUAUUUAAAGUUUCGUCGUGGAAGGAUGGGCAUGCCGAACAUUAGCGAGUUGGCAGGGUAACGGCCUACCAAGGCGACGAUUUUUAGGGGUCCUGAGAGGAUGAUCCCCCACACUGAUACUGCGACACGGACCAGACUCCUACGGAAGGCAGCAGUGAGGAAUAUUGGUCAAUGGGCGGAAGCCUGAACCAGCCAGCCCGCGUGCAGGAAGCCGGCCCUAUGGGUUGUAAACUGCUUUUCCAGGGGGUGAAUUUCUCGGUCGUGACCGGGAUUGACGGUACCCUGGGAAUAAGCAUCGGCUAACCCCGUGCCAGCCGCCGCCGUAAUAC
rnacentral:rRNA from 1 species